AUGCAGUCGAGCGGACAGAUGGGAGCUUGCUCCCUGAUGUUAGCGGCGGACGGGUGAGUAACACGUGGGUAACCUGCCUGUAAGACUGGGAUAACUCCGGGAAACCGGGGCUAAUACCGGAUGGUUGUUUGAACCGCAUGGUUCAGACAUAAAAGGUGGCUUCGGCUACCACUUACAGAUGGACCCGCGGCGCAUUAGCUAGUUGGUGAGGUAACGGCUCACCAAGGCGACGAUGCGUAGCCGACCUGAGAGGGUGAUCGGCCACACUGGGACUGAGACACGGCCCAGACUCCUACGGGAGGCAGCAGUAGGGAAUCUUCCGCAAUGGACGAAAGUCUGACGGAGCAACGCCGCGUGAGUGAUGAAGGUUUUCGGAUCGUAAAGCUCUGUUGUUAGGGAAGAACAAGUGCCGUUCAAAUAGGGCGGCACCUUGACGGUACCUAACCAGAAAGCCACGGCUAACUACGUGCCAGCAGCCGCGGUAAUACGUAGGUGGCAAGCGUUGUCCGGAAUUAUUGGGCGUAAAGGGCUCGCAGGCGGUUUCUUAAGUCUGAUGUGAAAGCCCCCGGCUCAACCGGGGAGGGUCAUUGGAAACUGGGGAACUUGAGUGCAGAAGAGGAGAGUGGAAUUCCACGUGUAGCGGUGAAAUGCG
rnacentral:rRNA from 1 species